GAACCAUGCAUUGAGAAUUUCCCUAGUAAAUCUUUAAAUCGCUUUCAUGCUUCAUACAAGAUCUCAUCCUCCAAUUGCAUGAAAAAUGUAAUUUCAUUCCUCAACCU